rnacentral:rRNA from 1 species
CCUACGGGUGGCAGCAGUAGGGAAUAUUGCUCAAUGGGGGAAACCCUGAAGCAGCAACGCCGCGUGGAGGAUGAAGGUCUUCGGAUUGUAAACUCCUUUUGUUAGAGAAGAAAAAGACGGUGUCUAACGAAGAAGCACCUGCUAACUCCGUGCCAGCAGCCGCGGUAAUACGGAGGGGGCAAGCGUUACUCGGAAUCACUGGGCGUAAAGAGGGCGUAGGUGGGAUAGCAAGUCAGAUGUGAAAUCCUAGGGCUUAACCAUAGUACUGCAUUUGAAACUGUUAUUCUAGAGUGUGGGAGAGGUAGGUGGAAUGCGUGGUGUAGCGGUGAAAUCCGUAGAGAUCACGAGGAACACCGAUUGCGAAGGCGACCUGCUAGAACAUAACUGACGCUGAUGCGCGAAAGCGUGGGGAGCAAACAGGAUUAGAUACCCGAGUAGUC